UGUUUUAAAGCUAGCCAAGUUUGGAGGUGAGACUUGGCUAGGUCAGUGCAUGGGGCCAAGAUUUGGGAAAUUUUCAAAGUGUUUGUUUUUUAGGUUUGAUGGUUGAAAUGCAGUCUUUAUAUGACCAAAUGGCUACGGUAAAAAUCUUAGUCCAACAAAUUUUUCAUUUUAGUGGCUGUUGAAGUUAUCCAAGUUUGGUGGUGAUACUUGGCUAGGUCGGUGCAUGGGGCCAAGAUUUCGGAAAUUUUCAAAGUGUUUGUUUUUGAAGUUUGAUGGUUGGAAUGCACUCUUUAUAUGACCAAAUGGAUACGGUAAAAAUCUUGGUGCAACAAAUUUUUCAUUUUGGUGGGUUUUCAAGCUAGCCAAGUUUGGUGGUGAGACUUGGCUAGGUCGGUGCAUGAGGCCAAAAUUAUAUGACCAAAUGUAUACAGUAAAAAUUUUGGCGCAAAAAAUUUUUCAUUUUGGUUUGUUUUAAAGCUAGCCAAGUUUGGUGGUGAGACUCGGCUAGGUCGUGCGUGGGGCCAAGAUUUGGAAAAUUUUCAAAGUGUUUGUUUUUGAAGUUUGAUUGUUGGAAUGCACUCUUUAUAUGACCAAAUAGCUACUGUAAAAAUCAUGGUGCAAAAAAUUUUUCAUUUUGGUGAGAUUUCAAGCUAGCGAAGUUUGGUGGUGAAACUUGGCGAG
rnacentral:lncRNA from 1 species